rnacentral:rRNA from 1 species
AUUGAACGCUGGCGGCAGGCCUAACACAUGCAAGUCGAACGAGUGGCGGACGGGUGAGUAAUGUCUGGGAAACUGCCUGAUGGAGGGGGAUAACUACUGGAAACGGUAGCUAAUACCGCAUACCAUCAGAUGUGCCCAGAUGGGAGUAGCUAGUUGGUGGGGUAACGGCUCACCAAGGCGACGAUCCCCAGCUGGCCUGAGAGGAUGAACAGCCCAACUGGAACUGGGACACGGUCCAGACGCCUACGGGAGGCAGCAGUGGGGAAUAUUGCACAAUGUGCGCAAGCCUGAUGCAGCCAUGCCGCUUGUAUGAAGAAUGCCUUCGGUUUGUAAAGUACUUUCAGCGGGGAGGCGUUACCCGCAGAAGAAGCACCGGCUAACUCCGUGCCAGCAGCCGCGGUAAUAC